AAGGGAUAAUAAUGAUGAUGAUGAUGAUGAUGAUGGUGGGUGAGACGAGGAGAAGGAGAAGAUCUUCCGUAAUUGAUCAUGCAUCAUCCUCAUGAGCCUCAUCAUCGUCGUUACAU
rnacentral:miRNA from 1 species